CACCAUUGGUCUUUGCAGUAAAUAUUUACGGUAUCUAUUUUUAAAUAAUGCCAACUAAUGGCAUGUUGAGUUUAACAUUUUCUUACAUUACCCAGACUAGGCUAACUUAAAAAAAGAAAACUCAUAGGACUCCAGUUGGUGUAUUGAGACACCCAGGCGUCAGUAACAUGUAACGACCCCGUUGUCUGCAGACCGUAUGGAGAGAUGAUGCAAAUGGGCUGACCCAAAAAUGUGGCUUAUCAAUGAAACAUGAUAUUUUUAGUCUGAAAAGUGGGUCACUACACACACUUAGCCUGUAGCUGUGUCAGUGUCACACCAACACAUAGGCCUCCACAUCUACAGCAGUUGCUAAGUAACGGUGUAUAGCAGUGGAUUUCCUGAUUCAGAUCAGAACAAAGUGGAGAGUGGGAAGACUAACGCUGGUGUUAGUUUGAUGUCUUAAUAUAAACUUGAAUUUAAACAGGUGACAUUUAUGCAUUAGAUUAUAACAGUUAUCGAAUUUGUGAAAAGGAAAAAAAAACCUGUUGCAAAGUAUCAGCAUAUAAACAGACUUCCAUUGAGGUUUUAGGUUGAAAAACUCAGUCUCGUCAAACUGUUGCAGCCAAUAAUUGUUCAUGUGUGUGAUUGUCACCUGACCAAUGAAAUUACAGGGACAUCAGUGUGUUUCACAGUGGUCAGAGUAUGAUAUACUGUACAUGGCUUCUCAUAACUUUUAGCUACAUUUUCAUAGGUGUGUAGUCAUUACCAUACAUCCACCACCGUAUCUUUGUGCAUCUUUUUUUUUAAGUCUCGUUGUCAUGGUAUCACUUUUAAAUAAUCUGCUCUUGUUGUUGCUUUCCUCUAUACCCUGGUUCACUGUUUGGAGUGUAAAGUUAUUUGAAAUGAUGAGUAUAUUAAAUAUUAAUUGUGAGUUUUUUGAAUUUAGAAUUAUUACAUCAUAGACUUCAGUGUAACGCAGAUGCACUGAAUAAGUAACUGGUAUUCUCUAUAAAGCUAAAAAAAAAAGAAGCUAAAUCUCAAAUAUAGGGUUUGUGAGCCCUGGGGUUGGACAGGGGUGGAAACAGGAAAAUGGAUGAUGGGAAAAAAACAUAUUCUAACCUGGUCCAUUUCCAUUCAGCUGAGUGAAGUUGUCCAGCAUAAAAGUGAAAAAACUGGAGAGCUUAAGAAAAAAGAGGAAAAAAUGUGAUAUAAAUAUAAACAGUAGAUGGCGACACAUCUGAAAUUUAAUUUCUAUGUUUAAGUUUUAAGGAAAUGUUCAACAUUUACCUGCAGCUGAUCCUGCUCUCCAGCGUAUUCAAUAGACUGAAAGAUGUUCCAGGUGUAUCUGCGCCGCAUCUCCAGACGGGCCAUGUAACGCCGGUCCAAAUGUCAAACCUUUCCAGCUGACAGGACAAGAGAAAGACUAAUCAGCCCUGGGUGAAAUGAAGAGAGCUACCAGACCUUAAAACCACUGAGUAUACAGUACAGUACAGUACGGUACAGUACCAUCAGUCUUUUGUUGACCAGUCACACCUGUCUUUACUUUCUGUCCUUGUGUUUCUGUACCAACAGAAGUGCCACAUCCCAUGAUGACCAGCAGUAAAGUCCAGGGCCCACAUCACUUAGCGCAUGGAAAACUGACAUCAAUGUGGACAUGUGACCUACAAAAAAGAGACAAAAGCUAUGAGAACACAGCACUGGUGCCUGAAAUCUGAAAGUUAUUUUGAGGACAAACAAAUGAUGUGGAGACAAAAACAGAGACGGACUACGUUGCAUGUCCUCCAGUGUCUUUAAAGAUCUGAGCAGGGGUGAUGGAGCAGUGAAGUGUUUGUCACAGGAGGAGAGAGAGAGAAGAGGGAGGAGGAGGAGGAGGAGGAGAGAUGUCUCCCAGGUAACUGUCACUGUGACACAACUUCAUGUUGAACUGACAGGCCCAGGAUUCCACUGUCACUCAGUGUUUGUCACGCAAAAGGUGUCAAUGUCAAAUGU